rnacentral:lncRNA from 1 species
AAUUUCACAGCCUAAAGACAUCAUUUAUGUAACUUCUUAAGCCGUCACAAAAUGACUGCAAUAAGAAAAUAGAAUUUAUUAGCUCGCCUCGCCCCCAGGCAAAGUAAAGGUGCUAGGCCACUAAGAAUGUUUUUUUCAAUUUUUUUUAUUUUGCGGCUUUAGCACUUAGCUAUUUAGCCAGAUGCAUGAUGAGAAUUAAUACUAUUAUAAUACAUAUUAAAACUAAUUCAAAUUACUAGUAAUUUUAUUAAUAUUCUGAAUAAUUAUGUAACCACUUAAUACUAAAAUAAAAAAGUGUCCAUCUAUACUAUCCCAACACAUUUUCACCUUUGAAAUCGUAAAUUUCCAUUCCCAUUAAAAAAUAAUUUGUACUGUAGAAGUAUAUUUCUUUUGAGCUUCAUUUUUUUUUCAAAAUACUGCAACAUGACUUUUAAAUUAUGACACAGUACAAUACUUGUUUCAAUAUUUACAUGUAAAUAAAAUAAUCCUAAUUACUUGUAAAAGUAAGGUUAUAAAUUUAAGAAUACAGAACUCUCUUUUAAAACCAAAGUGGCAUUAGACUAAUUUUAAAAUUCCCGCUAAAAGGAAAAAGGUAAAUCUGGCAACAGUGCCGUCGUUUGCUGGACAUUUAGCCGGGAGAGAUUAAAUAUCCAGCACGCAACCGCGCUGUUGCCAGAUUUACAUAGCGGGAAUUUUAAAAUUUCUAAUGCGAAUUGGUUUAAAAUUUGACAUCCGAAUCUUAACCUUACUUUUGUGAUUAUUUAUUUACAAAUGUAAAUAAAUUAAAACAAGUAUUGUAUGUACUGUGUUAUAAUUUAAAACGCUUAAUUAUGUUAGUCCUAAAAAGAUUAAGCCCAAAAGAGAUAUACUUGUUUACAGUGCAAAUUAAUGGCAAUAGGGAUUUACGAUUUCAUUUGCAGGAAAAACAUGGGCAACCUACCCAGUUGGUAAAAUUUCAAUUCAAAAACUCUUUAGAUUUUACUGUGUGGAUGGCACAGGAAGAGAAACAAAAUAAUAUUCAGUACUGCAGUCACAGGAGUACAAAAACAUGAAGCAUCUUAUUAUGUAUGUAUGCCAUUCUCAAACAAUAAUUAUUGUACAAAACAAGAUAAAGAUAGAGACACAGCUUUAAAAUCCCGAGGAUCCUGCGAAAAGAAAAGUGAAAAUGUCUCAAUUAAUGUAGUAUAGAUAGACAUUUUUCUUUAUUUUAGUAUUAAAUAAUUAUUUAGAAUAUUAAUAUGUAUUAGUUUUAAUAGUAUUAAUAUGUAUUAGUUUUAAUAGUAUUAAUAUGUAUUGUAUGAAUAAUUCCCAUCAUGUAUCUGCUAACUAAAGCAACAAAAUAAAUCAAAAUGAAAAAACAUUUCAGUGACGUAGCACCUUUACUUUACCUGGCGGCGAGGUGAGUUAUUAGGUAAAUUCUAUUUUCUUACAUAAUAUACUUAAAAAUUAAUGGUGGUAUUAUUGUGGUUUAUAUUGAAAGCUAAAGCAAUUAAAAUAAUUUUUUCUGUUAAUUAUUUAACACAUUCACAGACACGACUGCAUAUGAAGUCAUUUGCUCCAUAAGAAGACGUGGCUACAGGCAAAGCGUGUCCGUAAAUGUGUUAAUAAUAAUAAUUUUACAUCUAUUGUGUUACACAUACAUUUUACUAUUAAAGACAAUUAUGAAAAUGUCAAAAACGCCCACAAAGUGGCUUUAAGUUUUAUUACACAGUAUGUGGACUUCAAAUAGGACGAUUAUGUUAAGUAUGAGCAGAACAAAGACUAACAAUUAAUGUUUUAUUGUCAUAGGUUGUCUUUUUUCAUUAUAUUUAAUGCAGCUUUCUUUAAAAUUCAGUAAUCCAUAUAUUUCAAAUCCUUUAACUGACCAGCCAACAGAGUGAAGUCUAAAUGACAUGUUUUUUUAGUCUUAAUUGGUAGGAGACCUAAACAUGACCAAAAUAUGAUGUCAGGUUUAAUGACCAAUUUGCCAUCAAUAGGGCUUUUCAUCGAUUGUCAUUUGUUUCGAGCUCCUGUCAUGUGUCAUACAAUAUUAAUAUAUUUACGCCAUACGUCUUUGAUUUGUAUCAUUGGUAUUACCAAUAACGUAUGACGUAUAUAUAUUAAUAUUAUGUGACACAUGACAGAAGCUCAAAACAAAUGACUGUGAAUAAAAAGCCCUAUUCAUCACAUCUAACUUGAAUGACAUUAAAUUGAGCAAUUAGUGGCAACGUUUUAUUGUGGUAAUUUUGUGACGUAAGACAUCUUUAUGACAUGUAUUUACGUCAUAUUCAAUUGACAUCUGUAUUACAUCAAGUUAGUUUUUGGGUGUACACAACUAAACAACAGUUUUUUUAUUGAUAGGUUUAUUUCGUUAAAUCAAAAAAAUGAAUAUAAUUAAAAUAAGAUAAGAAUAACAAAUAUGAUUUGCUACCUACAAAUGUGUUAGGGCUAAAAAAUAUAGUAUUUUUACUACAAAAGCGAUAUUACGUAGGUUAAAAUUUUUGACGUAAGAUAACUGUCAAAACAUCAGAUUGUGACUUUUCAUUAUUGCCAUGUUUAUAAUAAAAUGACAAUAAUGAAAAGUCACAUUCUAAUGUUUUGACAGUUCUCUUACGUCAAAAAUUUUGACCUACGUAAUAUCGCUUUUGUAGUAAAAAUACUAUACAUAAAACAUGACAUUACACACUUUGACCUAAAUCUAAACUAAAAAGUUAUUAUUGUUAUAAUCGGAGUUAAAAAAUAUAGUAACAAAAUUUAUGAACAGGUUUAACCUUCCGAUGACCAACCUUUUUUUUGUUACACGGAUGACCAAGGGGGGGGGGGGGAAAUGGUCAAAAAUAACAUUUAACAAAAAAAUGAAGUUUUUUUUUUAUUUUUUUUAAAUUUUUUUUAUGGCAUGGACUUUAUGUCAUUCAGCCAGUCACAACAUGAGUAUUAGUGUCAUGUGUAGUGUGUAUGUUGAGUAAGUGCCUUGUUACUUUGCAAAGUCGACGUCAUUAGCGUAACACUACUUGGAAUUACACAUAAUAGACGCUAUUUUACUAAACAUCAACUUCAGAAUAUAUUUUUUAUUCGUAAAAUAUAGGGAAUUCUUUUUAUUUCAAAAUAUGAGGAUAUCUAGAAUGAUAUUAAAGUCAAAUAAAAAAAUAAUGAGUUAAAAAUUGAAAAUACUUUUGAAUUUAUUAAAGAAAAACAUAAGCUGGGGUCACAAUUUUUCCCGCUUGGUCAUCCGAAGGUUAAGACUGUUCAAUAAAGUAAUUCCUAGCUAUAAAAAUAGUUUUUACUUAUUAUAUUAUAUCGAUAUAUUUUU